rnacentral:lncRNA from 1 species
CCACAUUAUAGAGUUGAUGCAGAAAGAAAAAGGAAAUCCCGGGGGCCGGGGAGACUCCACUUCUUUGAGAUGUGAUGUCCCAGAUACAUACAACAUCCCUCCUCCUAAGAGGACCGUGGAAUCCUAUCAAAUAUGUCACACAGAACCUUUCCUUUAGACCAACUAUUAAUUUUGCAAGAUAGCAAGGACACCCCAAAUCAGGAAAACAACAACAACAACAACAACAACAAAAGAUCUCUUAACUAUGUCUGAAAAGUGAUGCCUGAUGCUGCCUUAUUCAAGACCCAGUAACACACCACAGUCUUGUCAAGUCUAGAGCUUCGAGGUGUGAUUGCAUUAUGUGCCCAGGAAGAUGAAACUGGACUGAUGACUGCUGUCUGCCAAAGCCAUUAAACCUCCUUUUAUUGUACCACAAACCCAAAGACAUUGGAAUUGUGUUAAGCAUGAGGGAAAGUUGAAGCUGACAAGGACUGAAUCUGCAGGUAGCAAACAAGUGUUUCUCUCGGAAACUCAAAGUGACCUGGUGAUGUGAACGCAGCCCAGGAGUCAGCCACAUGCUAUUGUCUUCAAGCUGGAGUUCCAAUGCAUGUGAGCACAUCAGCACCUGUCCCUAGACCUCAGUUCAUGCAUUUUAUGCUGAAAAUAAGGAAUUCAUCAAUUUCCCAUUUUGAAGAGAGGUUGGGAAAUUGCUCCAGGAAUCUUCUGGGAUGUUGCUGGUGACUGAGAAAGGACUGGGACAGGACCUCAGCUGGGCUUGUUGACCUCUACAACAGUCCUCACUCCAUAUCCUCCGACACCCUGGGUGAAAAUUCAAUAUUCUAGCUUAUUAGGAACAGAUUUCCCCUUUCUGUACUUACUUCUCCUCAAUUUCAAAGCCUUAAAAGAAGAAACAUAUAAGCAUAUAAUAUAUUUGUGUUCAUAAUGGUGUGUAAUUUUUUUUUCAUUUCAUCCUUGGCUACUAAGCUUUUGUAAGGUAUUUUUAAAUGACUUAAUUUAAUUAAUAUGUUUUUUGAGCAUAUACUUUCUGUCAGGCAUUAUUUUGGGAAUGAAGAGUACAGAAAUAAGUAACUGAAAAAAUGUGUUUGAGGAACUGAAACUAUUUCAUUUUUGUUUAU